rnacentral:sRNA from 1 species
GUUCUUUUUACCACUCCAAAUGCAGCGUGUUUAGGUGCUAUCGGUUGUUAAUUAUUGAUAACUAUCAUACAAACUGGUGGAAACUGCUCUGGAUCAUUCAAAAUCGCUAUAUUUCAAGAACUCUUUUUUUCUGUAAACGUUUGCGGUUACAAACAGUAGUUAAAUUAAAAUAUUUUUAAAAUUAACAUUAUUUAUAAUUAAAACAAUAUUUAUCUAAUCGUAUAUAUACAUAUAAUAUCUUUCAUCAUCAUUGUAUGCAUGUUUUUAAAAAUCCUAAUCAAUAU